rnacentral:lncRNA from 1 species
AAUGAAAUUUGGUUCAUCAUGCUUCUGCUGCGCCACUCUGAUUCAAUAUCCCCGAUCAAUCCUUUCAUUCCCCUUAAUUAAUCAGAAACAAAUGAAAUAGGAGGACCAAAUGUCCUCAUCAUCCCAGAUUCCUAAAAUGCAUCAAAGAAAAUUUUCAUCAAUCACUAUAGUUCAUUAGACCUCAAUAUAUUUUGCACGUCAACAUAUCAAAUAUUUC